rnacentral:rRNA from 1 species
UGGGGAAUCUUCCGCAAUGGACGAAAGUCUGACGGAGCAACGCCGCGUGUAUGAUGAAGGUCUUCGGAUUGUAAAGUACUGUCAUUGGGGAAGAACGGUUUUCUUGAAAAGAUUGAGAAGACAUGACGGUACCCAAGGAGGAAGCCCCGGCUAACUACGUGCCAGCAGCCGCGGUAAUACGUAGGGGGCAAGCGUUGUCCGGAAUUAUUGGGCGUAAAGGGCGCGUAGGCGGGCCUUUAAGUCCGGUGUGAAAGAUCAGGGCUCAACCCUGAGAGUGCAUCGGAAACUGGAGGCCUUGAGGACAGGAGAGGAAAGUGGAAUUCCACGUGUAGCGGUGAAAUGCGUAGAUAUGUGGAGGAACACCAGUGGCGAAGGCGACUUUCUGGACUGUAACUGACGCUGAGGCGCGAAAGCGUGGGGAGCAAACAGGAUUAGAUACCCUGGUAGUCCACGCCGUAAACGAUGAGUGCUAGGUGUAGAGGGUAUCGACCCCUUCUGUGCCGCAGUUAACACAAUAAGCACUCCCGCCUGGGGAGUACGGCCGCAAGGUUGAAACUCAAAUGAAUUGAC